rnacentral:rRNA from 1 species
UACGAAGGGGGCUAGCGUUGCUCGGAAUCACUGGGCGUAAAGCGCACGUAGGCGGACUCUUAAGUCGGUGGUGAAAUCCUGGAGCUCAACUCCAGAACUGCCUUCGAUACUGGGAGUCUUGAGUCCGGGAGAGGUGAGUGGAACUGCGAGUGUAGAGGUGAAAUUCGUAGAUAUUCGCAAGAACACCAAUAGCGAAGGCAGCUCGCUGGGACGUUACUGACACUGAGGCGCGAAAGCGUGGGGAGCAAACAGG